rnacentral:rRNA from 1 species
UGGGGAAUAUUGGACAAUGGGCGAAAGCCUGAUCCAGCCAUGCCGCGUGUGUGAAGAAGGUCUUCGGAUUGUAAAGCACUUUAAGUUGGGAGGAAGGGCAGUUACCUAAUACGUGAUUGUUUUGACGUUACCGACAGAAUAAGCACCGGCUAACUCUGUGCCAGCAGCCGCGGUAAUACAGAGGGUGCAAGCGUUAAUCGGAAUUACUGGGCGUAAAGCGCGCGUAGGUGGUUAGUUAAGUUGGAUGUGAAAUCCCCGGGCUCAACCUGGGAACUGCAUUCAAAACUGACUGACUAGAGUAUGGUAGAGGGUGGUGGAAUUUCCUGUGUAGCGGUGAAAUGCGUAGAUAUAGGAAGGAACACCAGUGGCGAAGGCGACCACCUGGACUGAUACUGACACUGAGGUGCGAAAGCGUGGGGAGCAACAGGAUUAGAUACCCCCGUAGUCCCUGAGCGGGCUGGCAAGGCGCAU